rnacentral:misc_RNA from 1 species
AAAAAAUGUUAAUGGUCAUAUAUAUCUUGGAGGAGAAACCUGGCAGAAUUUUGUUUGGAUGUUUAUUAGACUGCUGGUAAUAUAUACCAUAAAAUGCUUAUUUUCCCGUCACUGAUACAAAACUCUAGAAAAUACAUUUUACGAAUUGUAAAAAAUUUCCCUCACCUUAGGAUAAUUAAUGGUUGGUUGAGAGUUGAAAGCUGGGUGGGGAUCCACCCAUUUCACUAGGUCAAUGUAAAUUAAGGAAGGGAAUUGGUUUCUGCUUUUGUCUGUUUGUG